rnacentral:rRNA from 1 species
AUUGAACGCUGGCGGCAGGCCUAACACAUGCAAGUCGAGCGGGGUUUUCGGACCUAGCGGCGGACGGGUGAGUAAUGCGUAGGAAGCUGCCCGAUAGAGGGGGAUACCAGUUGGAAACGACUGUUAAUACCGCAUAAUGUCUACGGACCAAAGUGUGGGACCUUCGGGCCAAAUGCUAUCGGAUGCGCCUACGUGGGAUUAGCUAGUUGGUGAGGUAAUGGCUCACAAAGGCGACGAUCUCUAGCUGGUUUGAGAGGAUGAUCAGCCACACUGGAACUGAGACACGGUCCAGACUCCUACGGGAGGCAGCAGUGGGGAAUAUUGGACAAUGGGCGCAAGCCUGAUCCAGCCAUGCCGCGUGUGUGAAGAAGGCCUUCGGGUUGUAAAGCACUUUCAGCGAGGAGGAAGGGGUGUGUGUUAAUAGUACACACCUUUGACGUUACUCGCAGAAGAAGCACCGGCUAACUCUGUGCCAGCCGCCGCCGUAACAC